GCGAGCUAGAGAUGCUGCACGCUGCUAACAAGGGAAGGAAGCCUACAGCUGAGGCAGUGGUGCUAAAGAGGAGACAGGAAGCACCUGUAUCUUCAAAUCUUGCCAAGAACAGAGCACCUGCUAGUAAGAGACAGAAGGAGUGAUAACAUCACAGAGUGAAAAUGAAAAAUAAUUUCUUUCCUGCUAUUUCUAGAAAAAAAAUUAAAAAAUGAAAAACAAAUUUAUAGAAGUACUUUAUUUUCCAUUAAGUACCUCAUUUAAUUGAUUUAGAGUUUCACGUAGCAUAUGUCUGUGUGUUUUGGAGUGUGUUUUAGGGAUAAAGUAGGAAGUUCCACAUUUUAUGACCAGCUGUAUGCUGUAGCAGAGCACGCAUAAUUGAGAUUCCUAAUUAGGGUGAAAUAACAUAAUACUACACUCAUUUCUGAUUGUCUUAAAACACCAAAAUUAAAAAGAUGAAAACGAUAGAUGAUAGUAAAAGGAAAAUAAAAAUAUAAAACAUGAGAGGAAGAUCUGUCAAUCUUGUUUUCUAUUAAAAUAAUGUCUGGUGCACAGUAGGUAUUCAAGAAAUAUUUAUCAAGAAUGGUAGAAGGUAGAGGUAGGAAAUGAGUCCAUAGUCUGUAAUGAAAAUUGCAGCAGGUAAAAUAGCUUAAGCUUUCACUUUGAGCCUUGAAACUCAGAUUGAAUAGUUAAUUAGUGAAUUACCAUUUCAUUGACAAAAUGGGGCAAUGGGGCAGUUUUUCAAUCUCUUCCUUUGUAUUAUAAAUCAAUACUGAAGAUCGAUGUUGGUUUGGAUCAUCUUCAUGAGGCUUUAUUUUAAGUGGUUUAAUUAUUGUUAAUCUUUUGGGGUAACUGUCUUGUGAUCUAAGUAUCUAGUAGGUCUCCAUGUCUAUAAAUAACUUCUUAUGCAGGAUUAGAGUUUCUAUAAGAUUUUUGCAUUUCACAAUCUCCUACUAUUUUCCCUGUCUGGGAAACAGUAAGUCUUCUAGUAUAUGUCUUUGGGACCUGGGGCCCCAGGAGUGUGUCAGGAUGGAAAUGAGACACAUGAGUGUAUUUCUUCAGGCUGUCAUUGAUGGGCACGUUCGAUGACUCAGGUCUUUUGACAGGUGCCAAGGCUAUAAGCAAACCCAGGACCAAGCAUUUAGUGGUUUGCACACAAUUAGGAGGAAAAGACUCACAAGCAUUAAGUAGUAUAGAGUGGAGAAGGCUUCAUGAAUGAAAUGUCUGUCAAGGAUGCAAAGGAAGAAGGAAUGAUUGAUUCUACUUGAACAGAUUAAGAAAGAUUUCACAGAACCAAACCUUGAAAGAUAUUGCGGAAGCAAGUAGGGAGAUGAUAUCCCAGGCAAAGGAAAGCAGUUUGAUCAAAGUCUUAGAGGUGUGUGACAAGGUAUGUUCCAUGAACUGCAACUAAUGACAAGGUCAUCCCUUGUCAGUACAGUGAGAGAUGAAAUCUAAGAUGCUGGCCAGGCCAGAUCACGCAUAUGCUCCUGAAAUAUACCGAGCACUUUCUACUUUGUGCUGCAGGUCGUGGGAAGUCAUUAAAGGGCUUUAAGCAGGAGAACAUCAUGACCAUAUGUUCAUCUUUAUUUUUUAAAGACCAUUUUGAUAAGCUGGAUCAUGGAAAUAGCGGCAGUCAAUUUUUAAAAUUCUUUUUUAUAUUCAUUCAUCACUGAAUAUUAAGGCCCUACUAUGAAUCAGCUUUUGUCUAUAUGUAUGAUAUGAGGAUAUGAACAAAGAGUAUACAUUCAGUUUUGAGCACACUGUGACUCUCAGAGGCAUCAGAUAAAGUAAGUCUCAUUAUCUAAAUAGGGCCAGUGAAUAACUGCUCAUCCAAAAGUGCUCCCUUUAAAUAAAGCCUUAUGUUCCCAUUGAGAAGUGUUUUCCUGGAUUCAGCGCUGCCGAGAAUAAUUAGGCCACUUGCAUGUGAAUUGGGGGAUUAUGUGUUGUACAGGUCCUUCUCUUCAUUGGGUAGAACAGAUAUCAUGUGGUAACCAAUUUCUACAUCAAAUCCAAUGUAACCCUAUAAUGGGAACUCAAUUUUGAACUGCAUGUAAAUACACGUUUGGCAAAACCACACUCUCUUAGUGUGAUUGCGUCUGAUCAGGUACCAGGUGUAUCGAUUGUCCAUUUUCCUUCACCGUUUCUCCUAGAUUAUGAGUACUGGAGAGUCCUUAUCAUCACUUGAAGUGGUUCUCAACUGGGAAUGCACAUCAUGAUCAUGGAGGAGUUUUUUUUUAAAUGUGCAUAUUUAGGUAUCACCCAAGAAAUGCUGGUUCCCAGGUUAGGACUAGAGAGCCCAGGGAAACUUGUAGUGUUAAAAGCGUCCCCAGGGGAUUUUCUCAUUCUCAUGCAUUCUCCUCCUUGGAAAGCCACUAAGGCUAAUUUGAUAUCUCUUACAACAUAGCCAAGGCAUAGCUUGUUAGAGCCCAGCCUAAAAGUACGAUUCCCUGAGGCCCAGCCCAGAGCAAUUUCUAUUUCAUCACCUCUACCCGUGUUCUUCCAGCCUGCCCUGGACCUUGAGACAAGAUAUCUGUGUUUGCACUGCUUUUAUCUGGGAGAUAUGGCAGGAGGAAACCUGCAAUCUAAGUGCAUUAUUCAGCUCAAACUGCUAUAACAAAGUACCGUAGACUAGGUGGUUUAAACAACAGACAUUUAUUUCUCACAGUUCUAUAGUCUGGAAGUCCCAGAUCAGAGUACCAGCAUGGUUGGCUUCUUGAUGAGAGCUCUCUUCCCCUUCGCAAAUGGCAAAGGGGUGGGGUGAGAAGGGGACAUGGGAAAGAGAUGAGAGGAAAGGGAGAGGGAGGAAGAAAAGGAAGGAGGAGGAGAGAGAGAAAAAGUGAGAGUGAGUGUUAGCUCUCUGGUGUCUCUCCUUAUAAGGGCGCUAAUUUCAUUAUUAGGACCCCACCCUCAGGACCUCAUCUAAACCUAAUUACCUCCUAAAGAUCCCAUCUUCUAAUACCAUCACAUUGGGGAUUAUGUCUUCAAUAUAUGAAUUUUGGGGAAACAGAAUUCACUCUGUAAUACCAGGAGAUUGAUUCUAGCUGGGCAUUAAAGUCACCUGGGGACUGUCACUAAAAUACUAGUGUCCUGGUCCUAGCCCAUGAGAUUUGGGUUUAAUAUGUUUGCCAGACCUAAUUCUUCAUCCUGCUAGUGAAGUAAUUUCACUCAAAGUCUAAAAUGUUCUCAUCUGCAAAAUGGGAAUGAUGCCACAAUCUAUACUAAAGAUUACAUGAGAUUAUAGAUAUCAAAAGGGUUGGUCACCUCUAAAACAUUACAAAAAUAUCAUUUUCAUCUUUAUUAACCCACUUCCUUUCAUCGAUGAGCAGUUUCAGAUGAAAUGUCAGUAUUUUAAGUUUUCUCUAUCAGAGUGUUUACGGCCAGGUUUCCUAGUAGGUCUGAAUUGGAACUGCUGCCCCCUGAAUAUGUCCGGAAGGCCAUGCAGCAGGAGGGCAUAGCUUAGGGGUCACAAAUUUAAAUAUCUACAGGGCCCGGGCAGAUCAUGCAAAUGAGGGAAGAGAGGGCUGGCUGCAGAAAAAUGGUUGGGUGCAUCAAUCAGCACUCAGCUACUUUGAUUGAGACAUGGUAGAAAGAAAUGUCUCUCUACUAUUAGAAAAGUAAUAGUGCAGACAUGGUGACAACUGGCAGCUGGCGUUAGACUCUCAGGCUUGGGGGAACUAGAGAGCGAAUGUCCAACUGAAAGGGGUAGCUGUUUAUACUCAGGCCAGCAUUGCCAGAUCGUCCAGGUCCCCCCCCCCCCAGAAUCCAAGCUUUUAUGUAAAAGCUCUUGAUGUUUAAGUGCUAGUAACUAAUUUAAAAAACAAAACAAAAUGAAACAGUGAGCAUUUCACAGGGUAACAUUGACUGGUAUAAACAAAAUAUAUGCGCAGUCUGAAUUUUGCCUGUGUGCCCAAAUUGGCCUGCAUACUAUCAGUGGAUAACCGUUUCUUUAGGCCAUGCACUCCGUCCUGCCCAUCAACGAACCAUUGUUUUUUAAACAUAUUGUUUAUCCACAAACAAAAUUCAUCGCUGCACUGGAGCCCAGUUGGCAAUCUCUGGCAUGGAGCCUCAUUUCCUUUGACUGAAUUUUCUUGCAUUUAUUUCUGUGGCUUAUAUUCAUUUAUGCUAUCAAUAUUUACUGAGCAGAUACUGUGCUAGAUGAUAAGGAUGCAAAAUUCCAAAAGACAUAGUCUCUAGUCCCUGCCCUGUGUUGCUUCCAGUCUAGUCUAGGCAAUGUGCCCAGGGCAAUGACUGAGGCCAGAAAGAAUAUAAUGGAAAUAUGGAACAAAGAUGUGUAACCCAACCUCCUGUAGAUAGCUCAUUUCUUCUGGUUCUUUCAACUAAUAACAGAAAAUGCCCUCCUUUUUCCUUUUACCCACUUUUUCCCCCUCCUUUUUUUUUUUUGAACAUUUGGCCAACAUAGUAAGCCCACUGUGUGAAAACCACAUCUAACCUUUGGCUUUUUUGAUGCUUAGGAAAUAUUUGAUGUCAUGGUAUAAAACUAAAAGUCACUCCACCCAAUACAGUGCUGAUACCUAAUACUGUCAACAUCGUAUUUGAAAUGCAUGUGUGAUAGUUGUGUUCAGCCAGAAACAAAAGUACCCGGGUGUGUUUGGUUCACGCGGGGCCCUAGCCUUCACAUUCCUUAUCCUGGUUUUUGGCACUCAGUGACGCUGAGUGGCUCACCUUGGCGACUGUUUCUUGUAGCAGGCUUCUCUCCAGGGGAGUGUCUCCCAAACCUUGAGAUGGUUAUCUGUUAAUAGAAGGAAAAACAAGUUGUGAAAGUAGGCCACGCGCGUCACCGAUAAACACGAAAAUUUCGUUGGUGAGAGCCCUCCUCUCCUUGCCAAAGUGACCUUGGUUGGCGCGAAGAUGACAGAGUGCUUCCCUGCCCGGCUCUGACAGCAUUGCUAUCACAGCACGUUUGACAAAUCGUUCACAUUAAAUUGGGGGGCACUUUCGGCAGCACCGACGUCCCCUCUCCAUCACUCCUGAUUACCACACAAACGUCAACCAUGGCACCAAGCACAUUUGUCACAGGGACUAAAAAGCAGUUGUUAGUAAGAGCGCUACCUGUCAUACUAAUGGACUAGAGCUUGUUGCUUUGUGUCUCGCAGGAGCCUACAGAUUUGCAAAAAAACAAAACAUAAUUUUUUUUUGGAAGGUUGUCCAGUGUUUCUUGAAAAUGCUUUUGUGCUUUGAUAGAGAGAGGUAUAUUGAAAGCUUGUCAGAUGGGACACCCGAAUGCCUUCUCUUGGAAGGGGAAACAGAUUCUGAUUUUUUUUUUUUAGGUGACUUUGCUGUUUAGUGACUGCUGUCAUUUCUUUGUGGUCAAACAGGCAAUGGCAAGUUUUUCUGUGAAGGAAAUCUAUACCCUAUACAUUUUAAUUAGAUUAGUAAAAAACAAAUAAGUGGAGCAAUUCUUUGCAAUUCAUUAGUUCCCUUUGUCUUUAAACUUUAUGAAAUUAUUUGAAGGAGGUAGAGGAUGAGCUUGUUUCUUCCCAUCACCAUGUCCUUGUCAUCAUAGGUGCCAUGCUUUCCAUUGUGCUUCAUGUGUCAUUUAUAUGCUUUCUUUUAUAGUCUGGCCAUAAGCCAGGCCAGUCACACACUACUAUUCCCAUUUUAGAGGUGGCAAAACUGAGAAUCAGAAAGUUUGCUGCCAAGGAUUACACAGGUACUGUCACAUUUGUAGUUCAUGCCUUUUGACUCCAGUUCAUAAUAUCCAUUGUAUUUGGAUAUCCAAUAAAGAUCGUGCAACUUAUUUAAAUGAUUCCUCUGUCGGCACACAUUGCUGUUCACCCUUCUGUUUCCAAGCCAUUCUUCUCCCCAAGUCCUCCUGCUACUCAGUAUCAAUACAUAGUUUUUUCUUUGGCAGAAGAUGCAAAAUACUUCAUUUCAAAAUUAGGGAAAGAAAAGUGAAAGUAAUGGAAGAGAACUGGGUUGCAAACUUUCAUCUGACUGGACUUUAUAAAGUAGAGUCCACUACUCUAAGUCAUUGUUUAAGGGAGUGAUUUUGGUACUGCAGACAGAGGGGGUCGUGGUGCUAGAAUUUGAGAACCCUUGCUAUAAAACAUUCUGUCUUUUGUGGGCUAAUGAGGGGCCCCUUUGGCUUUUGAAAAGAUAGGAAAAGACAAACUGUUUUUCUUUUUCACACCCUCAACACUGACUACUGCACCUCUCGUCUCCAAAAUGUAUUCCUCCCCACCAGCCACCAAUCAGUUCUGCAGGGGACACCAGCUGUGUGUUCCAUCAUUCAAUUCUGACACUAUCUACCCAGAUCCAGUGUUAGAUCCCACCGGUGAAGGGCUCAGGCUCACAAGGCUGCCAACUCUUCAGAUGCCAAUCACAAGCCCCAGGUUGUGACCUGUAUUUCUGAUUGGCUAUAAAUUUGAAUUCUUACAACCUUCUCCUUUGGAUUCAAUUAAUUUGCUAGAGUGGCUCACAGAACUCAUGGAGAUACUUUACUUACAUUUACCCACUUAUUAUAAAGGAUACAGAUGAAUAGCCAGAUGGAAGAGAUGCAAAGGGCAAGGUGUAGGAGGGAAGGGGUGCAGGGCUUCAGGCCGGCCCUGGCUGCACCACCCUCCAGGAACUUCCACGUGUUCAGAUAUCCAGAAGUUCCCAAACCCUGUCCAGUGGGUUUUUAUGGGGGCUUCAUAAUGUAGGCAUGAUUGACUACAUCAUUGGACAUUGGUGAUCCAUUCAACCUUCAGCCCUUCUCCUUUCUCUAGAGGUUGGGUGGCAGAGCUGAGAGUCCCAACCUUCUAAUCAUGCCUUGGUCCUUCUGGUGACCAGUCCUAUUCUGAAGCUAUCUAGGGGCCCCUAGCCACCAGUCGUCUCAUUAGCAUACAAAAGACACUCAUCACUCCAGAGAUACCAAGGGUUUUAAAAGCUGUGUGUCAGGAACCAGUAACAGAGACAAAAACUUAUAUUUCUUGUUAUCUUACAGUAUCAUAGGCUUCUUGUGAAUUCACUCUUCUAAGUGAUGUAAUAAGCUGGAAUGAUAAACUUGAGAUGGGAUAACGUUAAUAAAGAACUUGUUAAGUGCUUGAUUCCUUUCUUAUUUUAUUCCACAAGUCUUUAGAUCAGUGUUUCUGGAUUGCCAUGCUGGGUUAUCUCCAUUGGAUGUUUUAGUUACCAUCAAUUUCUUUUUCAUGGAAAAAUAUAUGAUCUGUGAGUGGCUUCUUCAUUUUAACCUUCUCAUAUCUCUAGGCAGGAAGCCUCAAUGUAUGAAAAUCUCCUUGAAUCAAAAGGAGACAAUCCCUUGUAAGUACAUCCGUUCAUCAGAUUUUAUUAUAGACUUACUCUGUGGCCAGCACUGGACUAAGCUCUGAGAAAACCACAGGGAAUCUGGGUCUCCUGUUGGCUUAAUGUAGAUUAUCUUAUAAGCAGAAAUGGUCUUAGGCUUUGGGCGUGCCCACCAUAACCGUAGACCUUCCCAAAACAUCCUCCUUCAUAACCUUCUGACUGUUCUUCAGGGCUUUGCAUUAUUUGAUCCCACUCAUGUCCCACUUUUAUUCUCAGUGAGCUAUUACAGUGUAAUUCUUUCUUUUCAGAUCAGAGUGCCAUUUAACAUUUUUAAUAUCUCUACUUGUUUUCUUUUCAUUAGUGGCAGGUUUUCGUUUAUGCUGCAGUAUAUAAAACUGAUCAAAGAAGAGCAAUUGUGGUUGGAACGGGAGGGGUGGGGUACCCUGGGCAACUCCUUAGAGUGUAUAGUCCUGAGAGAAGAAGGUGGGGAAAACCUUGGUCUAGAUGGUGCCACAGAAGGAGGUUGUGUCCCUUUCUAGACCUCCAUCUUCUCUGUCUGGAUGUGCUAUUCAAGCAACAAGAGUAGGUUGGGAUGUUCAUGCCAGGAGGAAGGAAGAGUUCAUCAUAGAAGUCUAGAUAGGGCAGUAGUUUGAGGAUAUUUAACAUGUAGAUUGAAUGAUGGCUACUGUAACAAAAUACCAUAAACUGGGUAGUGUACAAAUAGCAGGCAUUUGUUUUUCACAGUUCUGGAGACUGGAAAGUACGAGAUCAAGUCAUUUUCGGUGUCUGGUGAGGGCCCACUUUCUGAUUCACAGAUGGCCCCCUCUCACUGUGUCUUCCAUGGUGGUGGGGACAAGGCAGCUCUCUGGGGCUUCUUUUCUAAGGACAUGAAUUCCAUUCAUGAGGGCUUCCUUCUCGUGGACCUAAUACCAGCACAUUAAGAUUGGGUUUCAACUAUGAAUUUUGGAGGGACGCAAACAUUCAGACCAUAGGAAGGAAGAACAACUUGCAUUUUGUUUCAUGUUCCAAAUACUCUCAAGUAAUUUCAUACACAUUUACCUCCACUGAUCCAUAUUUCCACCCCAUGAGUUUAUUCCAGUGCUUAUGUUACUUUACAAAAAUGCUUAUGUUCAUUACAAAAAUGAAAUCACAAUGUUUUGUCCAACAUAAGAAUUCAGUGAAUUAUUAUUGGAGCCAGGACUGGAACAUGAGUUCUCAGCAUCUGGCACUUCUACCUUCUUUUGCAACCCCCUGACCCCAGCUCGUGGCAGCACAGUGGAAUCCUACGUAGAGCUGGUCCUCACCAUCCAUUGCUCUCUGCUUCCACCCUCAUGACUAAGCUUACACAUGCACAUUUCUACCUGUAGAAGAGUUUUAAUCAAGACAUGCAUUUCCAUGGAAAUGAACUCACCCUCCCCCAAAAAACAUAUAAGUAGAAAGUGGCAUUUAUUUAAUUUUCAUGAGCUACAUUGCCUUAUUUCCUUUAUGUCUAGGCAUACUGCAUGAUUUUUUAAAGGCUAGGAAAUGUGACCCUGUGUUAAUUUCCAUGGCUACGUCCCCAGUCAUCCAACGGUGGCUUAGUGGCAUAUGAUAUAUUCAAUACAUUUUAAACACUGCUGCAUUUAAAAAUAACUUUAAAAGGUUGUAAAUGUCAAAUUGAGAUUUGAAAUAUGUCAGAUAGCUGUCAUUUUUACACCCUUCAUUAAUUUCAAUUGGACUCAGUGAAUUGUAUUUGACAAACUGUUAUCAUACAUUGACUACAAGCAUGCUACAUUUAUGUAGCACAUUCCUGACAUACGGAAUGUUUUGAGGGGAACUUUAAUAUAUGACUUCUCUUUGACCUCCUGGAUGACAUGAGACUAUCAAAUGACAAGUGUGGCAGCAUUCAACUCUAAGGUUUCCCAAAUGGUGGCAUUUGGAAAAUCUUCAAGAGGCUUGUUCAGAAAUGGAAGUGUCCACUGGAGAAUUUCUGAUAACAAAAAUAGACACAUUUUUCUCUCGGUGCAGAAAUUGCAAAAUUUGGACUACAGCUAAAAGGAAAGGGGGUUGUGAAUAAAGAUUUCCUAUUAGCAGAUCUGAGCAGGUGGAGAUGUGAUGGAAGAGUCAGGGCUGGUUAUAAAAAUACUAUCAUUAUUAAAAUUAAUAGCAAUUACCAACUAUUAAGUGCUAUAUGAAGAGCAUGAUACGUAGAACACUGUGCUUAAAAACCCAUGUUCUGGUGUCAGAUUGUGUAAGUUCAAAUGCAGGCUCUACCACUUUACUCUGUCUGUAACCCUGGGCGAGUCACUUAACAUCUAGAUGCCUCAAUUUUCUAAUUUGUAAAUUCGGGAUAAUAAUAUUACUUACCUCUUGGGGUUUACUAUGAGGAUAAUCUGCAUUCAGUGAAUGGUGGCUGUUAUUAUUAUAUGCCAGGGCUGUACUAAGCGCUUUGCAUUUAAUUUUCCAGCCGCCCUGUGAGACGGAUAUUACUGGUAGCAUUGUUCAUUUGCAAAUGAAGCAAUGAAGACUCCAGGGGAUGUUUAUUUAUCCAGAGUUCUCCACCUACUAGUUGGUAAAAGAAGGGAGUCAGGUAACUGAAGACACCUUUUAGGUCAGUCUGUUCAUCUGUAAAAGGUGAUCAUUGAACUUGAAGUUCUCUUGUCAUCGACUGUUACUGGAUGCAGUGACAAUAGGAGCCAGCUCCCUGUCACCCACUGAGAAAGAUGAGCUCCAUAAAUCCAAGCCCUAGUUCACAGAAAGCCAAGUUCAUGUCUGGCCAGGACUGGGCAGCUGGUUUUUAAAACACGCACAUCCUUACAUUUGCUCCCUUUUUAAAAACCUAAGUCAGGCUUUACAUGUACAUAAGAAUGUUAGUGUCGUACUUUUAAUGUGGCUAUAAGGAAAAGGCCAGUAAGUAAAUAACCUGCCAAGUAUGUUUUUAAAAUGCAGCUGUGGAAGAAGUUUUAUGUAGAAAUCACUAAUUUUAAAAUCCUAUGUUGCUCUGAAUAAAUGGUUCACUUUUAUUAUUUGUUUUCUUUUAUUUUAUCUUGGUUUUAGCAGAUAAAAGUAUUUGCAAACCUACCAAUAAUAAACCAGAUUUUUAAAACUUCAGGAAUUGUUAGAGAGCAUUGCAUCCGGAGUACUGUCAAGUUCCCAGCUUAUGUCCAGACAAAUAAAUGCAAAAUCCGAGCAAGCUGGGAGACAGCACAUGCUGCUACUCAGCUCCUGCCGAUCUGCUUUAAAACAAAGAGAGAAACAAAGAUACAUUGUAUAUGACCUCUAUGAGAAAUUACACAUCUUUCCAAUGUAUUUAAAUUAAAAAAAAUGUAUAAACACUAUUAUGUGAUAAACAAUCCCUGUCUUCAGACCAUUUGGGGCCCAUAUUGGGCCAUUUUGUCACUUUUGGUCUAAUCCAGUUUCUCUACAUAGAAACUUUUCUUUCACCCUGUGGGAAGGUCAAGGUCACCUCUUGACCUCUUCAGGGUCAUGAGGGAGUUAGGAGUCAUAUAGGAGAACCCAGCCCCCCAGGCCUUGGUUAGCUUCACUACAUUAUCCUGCCACUUUCACUUGUCAUACGACAAGGGUAAAGUUGUGCUGUCAGUUAACUAACACGAGAGAGGAAAUACUAUUUUGCUUUUGUAUUUGGGAAGUGAAAAACACUUUCAAGUUGAAUUCAUAGGCUAAGGACUGUGGGAAAAUAAAGGGAGAUUUUUCCAGCCUGCGAUUUUCUGGUUGCAUGAGGAAGAGAGAAACACAUCCACAUGCACGAGGAAAUGGGGAUUGCUGGGAGAAUCCACGCAAGCCACUUCCAGUCCAUGCAGUCGACGUUCCCCAGCAGUUUCGUACAGCUCUCAUUCUUUCAUCCCAUUCUCCUUGAGAGUGAGCAUAAAACCCGCACCAAGUAUGAGAGAGGGAUCUUGCUUCUCUGCACUUCAUCGUCAUCGAUGGCUCCAACUGAAAGCACGUGUUCCCUUUAUCUCAAGGGGGGAGUUCGGCAUCCUUCAUAUUAGUUAUGUUUAUGUAAACGAGGAAUCUAAGGGUGAAAUUAUAAUUUAUGAGAACUGCAUGGAGCUUCUGACAAUCCUCAUAAACAUUCUAAACAACUGUAUCUUGUUGCAAAACAAAACAUACAUUUUUGUCGCCUAAUAAGCAUUUUUAUUAUGACAUUAUUUCUAUUCUGGACUGCCCUGUUACGGUGAACAAUACGGAGUGGGGUGGGGUGAUUUUUUUUUUCCUACAUGCUUAGAGGGAUUUGUUCACUAUAAUUCCUCCUUAAGGAUUAGUGGGCAGUAAAUAUUAUCCAUUAUCAAGUCUCAUCGAUUGGGAAAUUGACUACCAGUAUCUUUUGAAAUCCAGAGGUUAUUUUUGUUGUUGCUUGGUUGUUUUUGUUUUGUUUUGUUUUGUUUUAACAAAGUAAGCAGCAAGUUGCAGAUCCUUGAUACUGAGAUUGAGACUCCUUGACUCAUUUGGUCUCUACUGUUGUUAUUUAUUGUAUUCUUUUCUGGCCUCUGCAAAAAUAAACAGUAAGUGAUACUUCUCCAGUUAUGUUAUGAUUUCAGAAUAUGAUAAAUGUUCCAGUUGGCAUGCCACAGGCUCUGGUAGAGCAUGGGAGAGGGACUCAGACGUGUGACAUGGCAGAUGUCUUUUGAACCGUUAGUACCAUCAUUGAAUAAACAGUCAAAAUAUCUUAAUUAUAAUUAAGGGAGACAACAGCCCAUUUUCUUCCAGAGUUACUCGUUAUUUAAAACAAAAAGAAAGGCAAGCCAACUCUCCAAUUAGUUCGAACUUUCCUCCCUUUAAUAUUCUUUAUAUUGGUGGUGAGAAUAGAGACCAAAACCUGUUCAUUUUUUUCUCCAUUACUCCAUUUCUACUUAAGAUAGAAAAAAUAAAAAAUCUACCUUAUUUUUUUCCCUAAGACAUAUUUGAAUGAACAGCCAUUAGAAUCUUAGCUUCCAGUUUAAAUGCUCAUCCAAGGAUAACCAGUGUAAUCAGCUGAGCUUGCAAAGAAUACACAAUCAUAAAAUCAUUUAAUUAAAUUCUGUCAAUGCUGUUUGUUUUGGUGCCCAUUUGGGUAUUAAUAACACCGUUGCUGUUUUUAAUGCCAAAGGUUUACCACUUAAUUAUUAUCUUUGCUUAUUGGAGAUGUUAGCAUCAAUUUGUAAGGCUCUGUAAUCACACAGUGUGUCUUGCUCCACCAGAUACAACAUGCUUUCCAGAACUAGAGGUUCUAACAGCCUGUGCUUGAUCUAAAGAUGAAGUGGUGGAAAUCAAAUGAAAACAUUUGUUAAAUUGUAAAAAUGUAACAGAAAAUAAGAGCAGUUAUUCAGACUGUGAGUAAAUUUGAUGGGGUGUGAACUGAUCACUUUAUUGCACUCUGUUUAUAGCAUCCUGCCAUUUUCGGAGAUGGCAGCCCAAUCCUUUUCAUUGUCUUAAUUAGAUUAAGAAUGGAUUAGAGGAGCCAAAUCUAUUAUUAAAAAGGCAAUUCUACUGUGUUCCUGAAAACCCCCUUUUGGUUUUUAAUUUCUUAAAUUCCACUGAUGCAAAAUAGCAAAUGCCUUCCUUGUAAUUAUGAGCAUGUACGCCUUCAUUUAAAGGGCUGUAAAAGUAUUAGGAAAAUCAGAUCUUCAAUUUUCUUCAAAAUUAUUUCUGAAAAAAUAAGGGAAGAAAGGGAGGGAGAGAGGGGAUGGAGUGCUACAUUUCUUUUUGCUGUGAUGAAAAACAUGAGGAAACAAACAAUGUAAUUGUUUUCUUCUCCUUUUGAUUUGUUCAAACAUAAAAAGGGCAAUGCAUACUUAUAUGAACCGACAAUUUUUCCAUAUACGUUUGUUGUUUCAAUUUACUUCCACACCUGAAAUAGUUGAACGUGUAGGUUUCUUAUACUUCUGACUUAGAUUGCAUAUUGGUUCUGUGGGAAAUCUUCCAGGAUGAUUAUCUGGUUUUGCAUUUUGUAUAUCCAUCUCUCUCAUGUGCCUAUACAAAUGCAACUUUCAGUUUAAAGUUUUGCGUUCUGAUCUGCUAUAAACAUUAUACACGUAUUGCUUUAAACUCCAGGUGGAGCAGAGCUGCUGUGUUGGAAACCGGUGCUUUUUUUUCCCAAUAGGUGCCCUAGUUUUAAUUUAUUAUUGUUUUUUCCCCUCUAAACUGUGUCACCUUGAGAUGCUAUAUUUUACAUAUUUUCUCUACAUUUUAAAAUUACUAUAUAGUCAGUCAGGUGAUAAAAAUUUCAUCAUUUACAUGCACAAAUGAGUGCAUGUAAAAACUGGAAAAGUUCAAAUAAGGUCUCUGGUUUACUUAAUAGUACUAUUUACUUAAUAGCAAAUAUUAUACCAGUGUUGAUUUCCUGGUUUUGAUACUGUACUAUAGUUAUGUAAGAUGAUCUUGGAGAAAAACUGAGUGAAAGCUACCCAAGAACUCUUUGUACUAUUUUGUCAACUUAAAUUAUUUCAAAAUAAAAAGUUUAAAAAUUCAAUAUAUAGUUUUAGUCCAUUGACUUCUAAAUUGCUACCAGAAAAUAUUGAUCCCUACUUGAUCUAUAUUAAAUUAAUUUUGUUUUAAUAAACAAAAUUAACACAAUCAGAUAUCACCAGCCUUUUGAAGACUCACAAUUCUCUUCUUCUAACUCUGGCUUUGUUGCAUUUCCUACCCACUCAAUUCUAGUGCCCGUUAGUAUAGGGUUCAUAUUUGAAUGCUCUUUGUAUCCACAGAGCCCAACAUUGUGCUCUGGACAUAGUUUUUCUGGCAGUGCAUUUAACUGUUAAAUAUUUAAAUUGAAAUAUUUAGUCAUGGAAGGAUGGCUAAGUGAGUAAAGAACCACUAUACUAGCACAAUGCUUGCUGCACAGUAAACUUUCUGUACAUAUUCUGAAUGAAGGAAUAAGUUAAUUAAUCAAUUUUGUUCACAUGUGAAUUUCAUACCUUAGCAAGAUAGGACCCAGUGACUGCUAAGCCAUCUGUUCUCUUGAGCCCUAUGUGAUGGACUCGGAUUCUGAGAUUGCUCAUUAAUUGUCAUCGCUUCAGUGUGGUUCCGUGCUUGGGAUUGGAGGUCUUGAGGUGAUACCUAAUUUAGGAAGACUAUGACAAAAUUUAUCACUAAUUACCUGCCCCUCAAAUGGGAAUCAAUGCCAUCAGCAGCAUUCAAUGGUGAUAAUAAUGGUUAUCAUUUAUCAAGUGAUUAGUAUUCUAAGCAUUUUACCUGUUUCCCUCACUUUAAUUUUACUCCGUUGCUAGCUUAAAGUUUAGGAAAAAAACGUAUGUCCAGGGUCACCUGAAGUUGGCUUGUGAGUGGCAGAACAGGGCUCGAACCCAGGAAGCCUGGCUCCAGGGCAUAUGCUCUUAACUAUCACCUACAGGGUCUCCCCUUCAUGUGUAUGCCCUUAUCCUCUUCAAUGGUGCGUGGUUGUAUUAGAUGUAUUAGAACACUGGAGAUGUAUUAGAACUCUCUUGGGGACCUCUUCCUGGACCCACUCCCAGUUACACUUAUUUAUUUACUUUGUCUGGGGCUGGGCAUUUUGUUAAACUUCCGAGGUGAUUGUAAUGUGCAGCCACGGUGAGCAUCACUCGCUUAGCUGAAUGUCAGAACUCCUUCAACGUCCGUGAAUAGUGGACGCUAUUUAUUCUACUUCUAAGUUCAUUAAGUCCAUGCACAGCUACAGCAAAACAGAGUGGUUGUCCCAGCCAUUUGGAGAGAUGGAGCUGGGAGCCCACUCACCUUCUCUGCAAUAAAUCUCCCCACAUGUUGUGAAGCAACCUGCUUUUUAUGUUCUCAGCUAGAGGGUUUCCAUCUCUGCCCUGCACCAUCUGUCAUGGAUGUUCAUUUUAAUAGCAUUUUACCUGUAUAAAGGUGUCUAUCCCCCCCUACAUUCCAAGAAGAAGAGGAUCUAAACCAGAAAUCCUAAAAGUUACCCAAGCAGUUUAUUGAGGCAGUUCAGGUAAAUCAGUGAAGAAAACAGAUCACCAAGUAGUGAACACCCCCUUUUGUAAAAGACAAUUGGGAUGGUUGUCACUAGGGCACACUGGAGAGUGUAUGUCCCAUUACAAGGGGCACUCACUACUCACAUCCCAUAAGGUAGGCACAUAGAAAUACCGCCCAGUAUGCUAGAUCUUCCAGUUUCUCGGGAGACUACAGAAAUCUAAGUUUUUGUUUGUUUUGCUUGGUUUUGUUUUGUUUUUCUAUUGUGAAAUGACUUGACAGAUAGUCCCAUCUGUUUUCUUUUCUGCACUGUACAGGUCAAUAUUGUGUCACCAGUGACAAUGUGGAAGGAAUGUACACAGCUCAGAGAAAGUAGCACCUUUAUGUAAAUACUUUUUUUUUUUUUUUUGCAUUUUUAAGUAAAUUCUUGAUCCUUUCUCACUAACUACCAAGUAUGACAGGCCCCAAUCUUUGUCAGAGACUGGCAUUCUGGCUUUAGACAAGGCAAAGAAUUUAGUGGACCCUGUUUCCUCUCCUGUGAAAUUGAACCUAGAGGAGGGCAUUGUAGAAUUAGAGGGUUUGUUAAAGGCAUAAUCUCUGAAGUUAGGACUGGUAUGGAUUGGAUGGGAUCCUGGUGCUGCUACUUACCAGCUCUGUGAAUUUUAAUAAGUUAUUUAGCACUGAGCCUACAUGCCCGCCUCUAUAAAAAUGGAAACAUAAGAUAACUGACUCUCAUGGUUGUCCUGAGUAUUAAAAUAAAUUGUGCAUGCAAAGUGCUUAGACCUGGUAAAGCACCAGUUCUACUAAUAAUAAAAGGUAUAUUUAAUGACAGCAAUGUUUUCAAUAGCCUAAAAUCAGCCAAACCAUUGCCCGAGACUUUGUCCCAUUGCUCUGGUUGGCCCUGAGCGUUGUGUUGGAUAAACAUGCUCACUCCGAUUUUGCCAGUCCUUUUAUUGCUACUUCAAGACCUUUCCCUGUUAGUCCUUUUCUGAAAUUAGUAGGACUGACAGCUCCAUGGUGAGGGACAAAAUCCAAGUUUUCUAACUCCUUUCUACCCCCCACUAAUAGAGCCCAUACUGAUCUGGAGGUUAUGCCUGUAGAACCAGAGGAAAUAUCUCCUUGGGAUGAUUAGAAGCAAAGUGUGAUUAAUAAUGAAUAUAUGUAUGUAUUUUAAGAGUAGGGUUGUGUUAAAAUGUGAAGAGUCAAUAAAUGCCUGUUAACCUUGUCAGAGGUCAAUAGUCGGCCGGGUGGUUGGUUCUGCAGCCUGAGCAUCUGCAGUCUAAUUCAGACCUGCCCUUGGAUCUGACAAUGGUACAUGCAAUUAGGAAAAUGUCUCUGUAAUAAUGGUAAUCGGUGUAAACCAAGAGGACAGGGCACAGCUGUGGGGAGCAUUUGGAGAGAGGAAUCAGAACAAUUCAUGCACUCCUGAGAAAGCAAGCCUCAAGCUAUCCUUUUUCAGUAUAAGUCUGCAGUAGCUUUCAAUUCCCUCUUGAAAAGUUGACUGAAAAGCAUUUUAAAAAUAAGUGUAGGACUCUUAAGUCAAAAACUGUUCAUGGUCCUCUUUCUUUCCUCCCAACUCAUGAAUGGGUUGGGAUUAUGGAUCUUCCUUUUUCAUAACGCCACUAUGGAUUUAAAUAUCUAACUCAAACUCUAUUGGAUAAAACUUUGCUCUUUGGCUGUUAUUUUUUUUUUUCCCCUCAAGAAGUGAGCUCAAAAUGUGCUAUAGAAAAUCUGUCUCUUGAGAACAUAUAUCAAUUCAGCUUUGCGCCACUUGAAAUGUUGAUAUUUGUAAAUGAGAGAGCUCCCGUGCUAGACUUACAGCCCUCCUCUCCUCUUUCAGUUCUUAAGAGAAGCAAUCUUCAGAGAAGAAACGUUUUUUACUCAUCUUUGAUUUUGAAAGAGAUUUAGAGGUCUGGGCCACCUUCAUGUCCCAGGUUAUUUUUUAGUCUUCCCGUUGUUCACUUUCUCUAACCCCUAAGUAACAGACAAGAGUUCCCUGGCUUCUCCCCAUAAAAAAGAUAAUGCCUCAAUUCACAACCAGCUCUGAAUAAUUAAUGAUGAUAAUGAUGUGAGAAUGUUUCACAUUUAUGACUGUUUUAGAUUUCCCUUUUACAUCCAUUUUUCUUUUUGAUCCUAAUGCCAACCUAAGACGGAAGAAGAAAGACAGGAUGGAAAAGACUUUGGACGUUUAUUUAUCCUUUGAUUUACUCAUCCAUUCAACAAUUUUUUAAGAAGUAAUUAUGUGUGCUAGACAUUGUUCUAGGAGCAAAGUCUACAGCAUGGAAGAGACAAGGUCUCAAUGCAUUUUAUUGGGAGGACCAGGCAAUAAUUACACAAAUGAAUGAAUAAGAUCAUUUCAGAUAAUGAUACUUGCUGUGAAGAAAAUAAAACAGGAUGUCUUUGGAGAGAAUCUACCAUUGUUGGUUUAGAUUGGGUUGUCAGAGAAAGCCAUGCAGGGGUGAGGACAUUUGAACUGCAAUCUAAGUGAUUUAAGAAAAGCCAUGGUUGAGGUCUUGGGAAAGCAAGUCAAAUUCAAAGCCCCCCAGGUGAGAAGACUGGUGGAGUGGGAAGAAUGGUGGGAGAUACAGGGAAAGGUAAGCAGGGGCCAGGUCAUUUGGGACCUUCUACGUCAUGGCAAGGAUAUUAAAUGAGCCAUUACUUCAUUGUGGGAUACCUAACAUAGGUAUGCAGUUAGCAAACACGUUUGAUAUAGACUGAGCUGGAGUGUUUCAAAUUGUGGUCGUGGCCCACGUGCAUCAAAGUCAUCUAGGGGUGCUUAUUUCAAAUGACAAUUUUGGGGACCCCACUGCAUGCUUAUGAAUUCAGAAUUUCUGAGGGUGGAGCUGUUAAUCCGCAUUUUCGACAAACUCUUAGGCGCAAUUUGAGAAUUGGCCGCAUUUUCACUUCUCUUAAGAAGCUCCUACUAUACUGUAAAAAUCUCUAAGGCCAAAAUGGUUAGGCUGAGGGGAGUGCAUAUUUAAUGAGAAUCUCCUGCUGACAGCUGCAUGUGUUUACACUAUUUUAUAUACUGGAUCUUAAUAAGAUUACAUAAGUGUCUCCAUUUUUCACAUGUUUGCAAUUUAUCUUUAUUAAUUCAAGCAAAAUGAGUGAAAUUGGGAAAUUAAUUAUCUUUCCACUUUUGUAGUAUUUGGUUUAUUUGAUUUUAUUAUCAAAAAGUAAACAGAAGCUUGGCUGAGGGAGACAUGUGUUGAGAAAUAACCCUCUGGGCUGUUCGUACUAGCAAACCUCUGAAAUCUGAGAGCUCAGGACUAGAACAUUCCACAUAUAAGUAUGCCAUGCUUUCAACACCUAUAUUUGCCUUAAUGAACUAAUUAUUUUUAAAAGGAGAAGAAUUCGAUAAAACAAUGACUUGAGCUUCAGAGUAAACUUCUACCUGUGGGCACGUGCUAUCCAAAUGUCAGCAAAGAUUUAGGUUCCUCUUCUCUCCCCUGUUCGGUUUUUAGAAAGACAUCAGAGGAAAAGAUCCAGCGUUAGUCAUACCACAAGGUUCAAAUGUGAGUGUUGUUCCCAUUCCGAGUACAUUGUGUUUUUAAAAAUCCCUCAAACCCUGUAGACAUGGAAAUUGCUUAAAGUAGUGUUUCCAGGCAUGAAGAUGACAGAUCCUCAGCUGGAAGGAGGGAUGUGGCUUAAGAGCUAUCUUGCUGUAUGUAUGUUCCAAUUCAAACAGCCACAGAGGAGGCCAGAAGGGUGGGAAUUCCUUCCUGUCAUCUUCAGAGUUUUCGCUCCGUUUGCUCCUCUCCGAUGUUCCCCUCUCUCGCUGACUUGCCAAAGCUGCAUCACGGGUUGUCACCUAUUUUCUCUUCCUGCUACCUGUGUCCUAACAAAAUAUGCAAUUGUUUGUUCUUGUGGCAGGGAAACCAGGAAAAGCAAAUGUUUUUUAAGCAUUUUUUAAGCAUUUUAUUAUUUAGCAAAUUUUAAGCAUUUUUUUUAAGCAUUUUAUAAAUAUCUCUUAUAUCUUGUCCUCCUAAAAAUAAAAUGACACAGUAAGACACUGCAUGACAUGGCAGAAAGGUAAGCUUUGCUUUGGGGACCCCAGCCCAAGAAAUGGGGCUGGUAUUUUUUGUUCCAGAGCCAAGUACUUUGAAUGUAGAUCAUUUAAUAAGGUCCCAUCCUCCUCUCCUUAAAAAAAAAAAAAAAAAGAGAGAGACUACAUUUGUUUCACUUUCUGAGUUUUAUCUAUUUUUUUUUUGUUCUGUUUUAUUCAGUGGCAUGAUUCCUACAGAAAAUUCCUAGGAUACAGAUAAGUGUAUCCCCUUUUCCCAACUUGUCUGGUUUUUCUUUAUCAUUUCAAAGAACACGUGGAUUUGUGUUUUGUUUUGUUUUUUAACAUUCUUUCAGAUUCACCAGCUCCAGUGACUUUAGCCAGUGCAAUUUCACUUUCCUUCUUAACUUUAAGCUUACCACCAAACCAGACAUUUUUACAACGUGGCAGUCUGCAGGCUACCUCCAGGCCAACAGGAGUUUGUUUAGCCAGCACAGUGAUUUUGUUUAUUAUUAUUAUUUAUUAUAUUGUUUAUUAUUACUGAACUAGAAUGCCUUUAGAUGAGUGAGCUCCCCACAGUGACCUGAUUUGCAAGUCCCUCAUACCUGGCAGCUUCACACACUGGCCUUAGAAGGAAUCCUUGCAAGACCAAGUCUUGUUCUGGUCUCCUUUGUAGCAUCUUUGUCUUUUCUUUUGCUUGUACAACUGCUAAGUUUUGGGGAGUGUGCAGGAUGCUAGUUGAGCAGCAGAUUGUUUUGGUUUUGUUUUUGUUUCUUUUUAAAAAAUUUUUUCCUAUAUAUAGUCAUAUAGAAUCUAUCUUCUUUGGGAGAUUUCAAUAAUUAUUUAAAAGUUAGGUGGUUUUGAUGUUUUCUUUGCCAAUAUGUACCGUCUAAUUUAUGUGCUACUUCUUACCCUCCCAAAGACAAACUUCCUGAUAUAUAACAAGUUACUCAUCCAGGUAAAAAGAGUGUUUUGAGCCUCUGAUAUUUUGACUCUGCCAUGUGGGACUUUGGGAUUCAGGAACUUUUCCUUAACAAGAGCCUGAUGGCAUUCUUUUUACUUAAGACUUCAUAACAAGAAGAUUUGCUGGGAAUGACAAAAUAUAUUCGGUAAUAUGCUUACCAAACACUUAGCGAAGUGUGUAUGUGCAGAUACAUAAUGUCGAGAGCUAUAAACAAGGUGCUUCUUGCACUGAGACCAUUCUGUUUCAUUAAGAAACUAUUCACCCUGUUAACUAUUUCCACAUCCUCUUCUUUCAUCACCUAGUUGUGAGUUAUUUGCUGAUUUCCAGCGUUCUAUUCCCUGAGGCCCCGUUUAGCAAAUCACUUCCUUAAAUCAUGGCUGGUUUAUCAAAAAGAGAUAACUCUCACAUCACCUUUUCACAGUAAAUGCAGGUUCAGAUUUUCACACUCAUCUUCAUCACCUGUGUUCUAGUCCUAGCAACUGCUGUUCUGAAUUUGCUUUUUGUAAAGUGUUUUCAAAGCUAGGACUAAGAUGAUUUUGCCUACCGCCUACAGCAACUGCCUGUUAUUAUCAAUAAGUUGAAUUCCAUAUGCAAUGAGGUGACUUUGUAAAAUACAAGACCAUUUCGUGGUUGCAGUCAUCCUUACUAUUCAGAUGUAUUUUUUUGUCCGUGUUUACCAUAAUUAUUUUAUUAUCACAGACCAUGUGACUGAAGCCAUUCAAAAUGUUAUUGCUAUUAUUUAACUAUUACCUACUGAGUUUUUUAGGGACUAUACUUACAACAAUGUUUAUGAAUUAUGAAAUAUUUACUGAUGUGUAUGUGAUUAUUUUUAUAUGUCUGUGUGUCCCAGAUAAGGAAUAAACAAAGGCAGAGGUAAAGCAACUAUAAGUUAGAUAAGGAAAGUUGUCUCGGGUGUAUCAGUUAUCUAUUGCUGUGUAACAAAUUACUCCAAAACUUGCUGGUUUAAAACCAUGAACAUUUAAUAAUGCCCACAAUUUUUAUGGAUCGGAAAUUUGGGAGUGGAUUAAUUAGGCAGCGCCGGUACAAGACCUCUCAUGAGGUUGCAGUCAAAAUGUCUGCCCAACUGUGGUCAUCUCAAGUCUUAAUUGGGGAAAAAUGAUCUUUUUCCUGAAUAGCUAAAUUAUACCAGCUGGCAAAUUGGUGCUGGCUGGCUGUUGGUGAGAAUCCUAAGAUUUUCCCUGCUGGAAUUCUUCCCCAAGUUGCUCGAGUGUCUUCGUGACACGACAGCUUGCAUCCCCUCAAAGCAGGAGAGUCAAGAGAGAGGAAUAAGGAAUCUCUACUGUGACCCAGCCUUGGGACCCAUUGUUAAGACCCACAGUUAUUUCUGCCAUGAUCUGCUGAUCAGAAGUGAGUCACUGAGUCUAUCUCACAUUAAAGGAGAGAAAGGUUAGGCUCUGUUGGGAAGGAGGAAGUGUCAAAGAAUUUGUGAGCAUAUUCUAAAACUACCACACCAAACUUCUGUAAUUGUUAACUUUUAUAAUACCCAUAUAUUCCCUGAGUUGAGGUCGCUUGUCAAUAUUUGUCUUUGCCGUUCUCAAAAUGUGAUCUGAAGGCCACCGUGGAAGGUAGGGUUCUUCAGGUACCCAGAAUGGUCUCAGGUUAGACAAUGUUACAUGGGCUUACAUGCUGUGUGUUUCUUUCAUGGCUUCAAAGAUUGGUUGAUAUAUGUAAUAACACUGACACCACUGGUUGCUGUCCCACAUAAAGCAAUUCCAGUCUUCCCUAUUCAUUUGGUUAAGUGGCCAUUUUUAAAAGAGAAAACAGAUGCAUGACUAGGUCAGUGGCGUAUAAACAUGAAUUCUGCAUAUAAUUCACCCGAAGCUUUUUAAAAACAAAGAUUCCUGGGCACCAGCCCAGAUUUACUAAAUCAUAAGCUCUAGGGAAUGGAGCCCUGGGGAUUGUUUUGUUUUUUGUUUUUUUUUUAAAGCUUCAGUUGAUUCUGAUAUAGCCAGUUAGGACAGUAUUUUGGAACCACUGCCAUACACAACUAAAUCUCUCUACCAACUAAAAUCAUUUGAAAAGGACGACAUCCUGCAAAAGGGAAAUCAUUGGCGCUCUCAUGAUAAUCAACCUCAUUUUGCUUUCUGAAAAGCCUCCGUCUGGGUUUCCAGGCACUUUCCCCACUCCAGCCCCUUGAUGGACAAGGACUGUCUGGUUCUGUCACUGCAUCCCCAAAGGCAGUCACACUAGGGGCCGCCACAGUGGUGAGGGCAUUGGCCCAGAAAUGCAUUGUUCACGCCUUCCCGAAGACAAUGACUCUCUUUCUGAUUAGAGUUGUCCUCCUUUUACCCAAAGGCUUUCCAUGCAACCAAGAGAGCAUAACAGUGACAUGAGGGCUUGGAAAGGAAAUGUCUUCAUCGAUUUUUAUUUCAUGAAUUGGAGCCUCUAUAAAAAUGGCACAGACUUGUUUUACAGUGUCAAUUUGUGGAAUAGAGGGGAGGACUGUUAAAACCCAUCCAUUUUCCCAAAGUUUAAACCACCCUAAUGAAUUAAUCCAUAGAUAAUGGAUUGAAUUCAGUGCAAUUACCCUAGUAAGUAAGGCUUGUUAAAAAGAGAUAAGGCAACACACUAAAGAAAACAGCAAUUUCAGCUAUUAACUGGAUUUCAUCUGGGCUCUGAUAAUUCAGUAUAUGAGUUCCCUUUGAAAAGAGAGAAUGUGAGGUCCUAUUAUCAGUGUAGCUACCAGAUGCUGGAGUUCACCUGUUGAUAUUACACUGCAGAAAAAGACAAUAAAACAAUAAUUCUGACACGAUUUUUCCAACAACCUCAAGGUAUUUAUGAUGUAUAUUUGACAUUCCCCAGUAAAUCUUUACACAUUAAAGCUUUGAUUCCCUAAGACAGCAAGCUCAUCUUUGUUUCAACUUUACUCUGUAUAAAUGUAUCUCAGUUACAUAUAAAGAGGUCUACUUUAUUUUGAAUGAACUGCUAAUGAGAAAAUUUCUAGUUAUCACACAAAAUAAGUAGGAUCACAAGAAUGUCCUGUAUGUGUAAAUAACUUUGCAGAGGAAAAGAAGUGCUUUAGCAAUCACUCUGUGCAUAUCAAAUCUCUGUGCCCAGGCAUUAGAAGUUUAACACCCAGCCCUAGGGCUCAGAAUGCUGCCAACUUGGAACUUGAUUUCUAGAAGCUCACCUGCGUUUGUCUUCUAGUUCUUAUUCCUACCACUGUAUUCAGGUCUUUGUCCCUCUUGUUUUCUGUUUGUUUUCUUCAGAAAGCUCCUAAGUGACUUCUCUUCUGUCUUGCAUAUUCCUGCUCUUUGGAUUGUAUCCAAAGAUGGUAUUGUCAUUUUCUCCCUGCCCUAUUAAAAAAUCUACAGUCAUUUCAAUUACUUAUAGGUGUGACCCAAAGGCCCCAGCUUAACAUUUUAGGCCCUCACUGGUCUAGUUUUCUUCAUAUUUUCAUUGGCUUUUAUUAUCUUCCUGCAUGGUAUUAUGCUUUGGAUGUUCCUUCUUCCUUGUUCACGAUCUGAGAUUUCUAGUACUAUGAUAGAGGCCCACCUCCCGAAACUACACCGUAGGUCCCCAUCAAUUCCUCUUCCUUUCUAAAACAUUCUUCUCUUUUCAUACCCAUUAAUCCCCACCACCUAGGAGUGUCUAUGGCAGUGGGAAGCAGAGUAUAAGGUAUAAGUAUAUAGUAGGGCAGAAUAUAAGGUGGUGUAGAGAUUGUAGGCUUUAGGAUAAAUUGGCCUGAGUUCAAAUUCUGCCUGUAACAUUUGUGAAUGGUAUAACCUUGAACAAACAACCUCUCUGGCCUCAGAUUCAUUUUGUAAUGAGGUAAUAAUACUACCUUUUAAAAAUAUGGUACAACUUUAAGUGAGGAUAGAGAAAGCCUUUGGCAUGCUGUUAUUGUUGCUAAUAUUCUGCAGUUGACCAUUUACUCUUAUACCCUUGUUUUACUCAUUGACUUUUUAACUGUGAAUUGCUCGCAUUGUCUUCCAAAUAUAUUGGCAAUCACCUAAAAAAAGCUUGUGCCUUUGGAUCUUCUACUGUUGCAUCUGCAAUAGAGCUUUGCAUAAAGUAAUGAUAGUGAAUAAUUAUCAUAAUUUAUUAAGCACUUAUAGUAAGUCAAGUACUCUGCUAUAUUAACCCCCCACCAAACAAUCUAUGAAGUAAAUCCUAUUAUCACCAUUUUUCGCAUUAGAAAAGUUGGGAUUUGAGCUCUAAGGUCUCAUAGCAUGAACAUGGUAGAACAAGACGCUGAACAAGGCCAAAAGGUUAAAAUUUUGACUUCUAGAAGAGAGAGAAAGAGAGAUUGAGAGAGAGAGAGAGAGACAGACCUAGGUUCAAAUCCUGGUUUGCCACUUUCUAGAUGUGUGACAUUGAGUGAAUUUCUUAAUCUCUACAAGCCUCAGUUUUCUUUUCUGUAAAAUAAGGAUAUUAAUAGUAUUUACCUUAUAAUUCUUCUGAAGAUUAAAUGAGGUAAUAUAUGUAAAGUACCUGGCAUGUUCUAAAGGCUCUAUAAAUGUUCACUAUUAAUAUCUAAUAAUUAUGUCUGUGUAACUUGCUCACUUAAAUCUUAUCACAGUGCCUUGUUGGUACAUGUUAGUCAAUCUAUUGUUUGCAUAUCACAGUCUCUCUGUUCCAAAAUAGUUGAAAUAAGUCAUAGAAAAUCUAGGACUGAGCAGGUACAUGCAUUGAUUUCAAACUAGAACAUAAACCUGGAUGGACUCUGAGCACUUUCAAGGCUUACCGUUGGAGUGAUAAUAACAUUCCAUACUCACCUUGGCAGCGUCCAGUAAAUACACAUGUCUGGUUUUCUCAUUGCUAUAUAGAAAGUCAACUACACUAACGCAUAAAACUCUCUGGGGUUUGGGAAAAUUAUUGCACUGCUUGUUCUUUAUGACACCACCCAGGGUGUGUUAUAAUCACCCAGAAAGGCAGUGCUUGUUGUGUCUUGUUGUGAUUCAGUCUCUAUGUAGAAAGAGAAGGAGAAAGAGGAAGAGGAGGAGGAGGAGGAAGAAGAAGAGGAGGAGGAGGAGGAGAAAUGGGACUGUGCUGUGGGAAAUCCAAGUGUAGCAGUCCCCUUUACUCAAUGGGGAUACCUUUCAAGACCCCCCAGAGGAUGGCUGAAACCAUAAAGAGUACCAAACCCUAUAUAUAAAAUGCACAGAUUUCUUUUAUCUUCUUCACAGUAUCACAGACAGAAGAUUCGUUCUUACCGUAGUUCUUAGCAACCUCAGCAUAUAAUUUUUUUUCUUUCCUUAUUAAGUUGAGAAAUUUUACUUUUUCACUUAAAGGAAGCAGUUUAUGGCUUCUCUUUCACGUAUUCGAAUUGCCCGUAUCACCGCUCUUGUGCUUUGGGGCCACCAUUAAGUGACAUUAGGGUGACUUGAACACAAAGCACUGCGGUACCUGGCAGUAGAUCUGAUAAGCGAGCCAGCUAGGAAGUGACUAAUGGGUGGGGGAGCUUCCACAGCAGGGACACACUGGAUGAAGGGGUGACUCAGACCCCGGGCGGGAUGCAGUGGGGCAGCGUGAGAUUUCAUCACACUACUUAGAACGGCACACAGUUUAAAACUUAUACAUUUUUUAUUUUUGGAAUUUUCCAUUUAAUGUUUUCAGACCACAGUUGAUCACGGGUAACUGAAGCUGCGGAAAGAGAAACUAUCACAGAUAAGAGGGGAGCAUACUGCACACUCCUUUGGGGGGUUUCAAGGGUCUCGAGACAAUAUGUGGUGAUUUCAGUAACUGUCGAUCUUAAAAACAUUUCCAGUGAAACCCUCACAUUUCUCAAAACAGUUAUUCUUUAAAAUAGAAUAACCAUUUAUAAUAUACUUAAAGCCAAAUUGGAACAGUAUAUUAGGAAUGUAACAUCUAAGAGUGUCACUACUCAGAAGGGAAAUUAACAAGGCAGAGAUACAUGGAGCUAUAUUUGCGAGUAGUUCUUCUCUACUGGGAAGGCCCCAGAGUGGGAAAUUGUCACCUGAGGCAAAAUUAUGAAGAAGAUUGAUUCAUUUUCAGUCCACCUAGGAAAGUGCUCCCCAGUGUCUUCCUGUAGUCAACAGGGCAGAGAUUGCACUUCUAGCAUAGUACUUAUGGUGGUUAUGUACUCAUUCACUCAUUCAACAAUUGUUCAUUGAGUGCCUACUGUGUACUAUGCGCUAUUGUGGCUUUUUGGGCUUUAAGGGAGAUGAGAUCCCUGCCCUUUUGUUGCUUGCAUUAUAGUUGAGAGAGACCGUCAGUAAGCUUGGAAAUAAAUAAACACAAUAACUUCCUGUAGUGAUUUGGGCUAUAAAGAAAAGAUAAUGAAAUACAAAAUGGACUGGCAGGCAAAGAGGCUAUUUCAUAGAGAGUGGUCCGGGCAUGGCUCAGUGAGAGUGUGACAUUUGAGCUGACACUAGAACAUUGAGAAGGUACCAGCUAUGGAAAGAUCUGGAAUUCCAGGCAGAGAAAAGAGCUACAUCAAAGGUACUAAGAUAGAACCCUGUGGAGUGUGCUCAGAGGUGAAAAGAAACUGGACAUGGCUGAAGAGUUGGGAGUAAGGAGGAGAGGGUAGCCGGGGGCCAGCUGGUGUAUGUCCUGUAGUUCCCAGCAUGCAGUUUGGGGAAGCUCAGCUCUGCCCCUCCAAAGGGGAGUCUUCAAAGGUAUAGAAAUGAGCUCACUUUCAGUAAGCAUUUACUGUAUUCCUACUAUUGUUCCCGACUUGACUCAUCUCACCUUGUCUAAGAAUGCUUUCCUUAUAUCUUAGCCCAUAGCCUUUGCCUGUUAACUUAUUCUAUUCCCUUUUCAAAUUUUGCUUUAAACACCACUUCCCCAGGAAAGUGAGGCUUCCCUGAGCCUUUGACUCCUCCCAGCCCCCCUAGGUCAAAACACCUGUCACGCACCCUCAUGAACACUUUGGCCUUUUCAUUCCUAACGCAGAUGGUGGAUUGUACUUAAGUCUUUGAUUAUUGAUCUUCCCUUCUCUCUUGAUUGUGAGCACGGGCAGGCCAGGAACCCAUCAGUUUUGCUCACCGUUGUUCUCUCAGCACCUGCCACGAUGCCAGGCACAUAGAACAUAUGCCACUGCUCCUGUCCCUGUUGAUCCUGGCAGGACAUUGGCUGCCCAGAAGGAGUGGCUGUAACUGCAUCACAUCUGCGGCCGUCAAUCGGGGGUUUUAAACAGCACCUAUAGAAGUUGCCUUUCCCACACUCUCAGCCCUCUGAUCAUGGCUCUAGAGGGCUCUAGAAGCUUCCUGUCAAGGAGGACCUGAAGUGGAAAUGAGCAUCAUGAGUCCCCCUGCUCACUGCAGCGUCUCUGGGGAAGAGCGUCCCUGAUCCCAAGAUGCCAGGGAACUCCUCGAGGAAGAGGAAGUUCUUGGAGAAAACUGUUCCACAUCCUUUGUGAAUAAAUUGGCCUAUUGCAGAGUAUGGUGAAUAUACAUGUAAAUGUAAUAAAAUGUCAAAGUGGCACUGGAGAAGAGACUCACUAAAUCGACUCAGCACUACAUGUGGAAUCAGAUCUCUAAUGCAUAUUUGUAAGGCAACCAAUAGAGCCAUAUUCCAAACUGCCCCGUUGAGAGAAAUAAAUCAAUUAUGAACACUGAAGUGAUUAAGCCUUUUUACCUUUCAUUGUCAAAGCAGUCCCUUUACUUUGUUUACUUUGGAACGCACCAGUGUAGGUGACUGGUACACACACACACACACACACACACACACAUGCACACACACACAACAUGCACAUGUGUGUAUGUAAGGUAGAUUAAGUACCCAGCCCAGUAUCUAGCACAAUGUAGCACUAUCCAGCUAUUUUUUAUAGAUUUUUUUAAAUGCCCUAGUCUUAAUCACAUUGACAAAAAUCAAAAAACCAAGAGAGGUUCAUAGGACCUGACAAGCAUGUUUUAUUGCUUUAAAGUGUGAUUUCUCUGUCAUUAUCCUGUAUCCCUUUCCGAAGUAUAGUUGACAGAGUAGAUACGUUAUGAGUAAGGAGCUAGUAGCAGGAGGAAUUGAGAAUGCUUGCAAGGUUUCUAGGUUGUGUAAUAAAGAAUAGCAGUGAAAGAGCAAAUUUAGGAGGACAUAAAAGUAUAAUAUCAGAUAUUUUUGAGUUUGAAAUAUGGGUGACAUAUCUACAUGGAGAUUUCUGGAAGGCGGUGGCUCAAGUUAGAAGCUGGGAUCCAGUAGUGUUUAGUGAAUACCCACAGCCAUGCAAAAGAUGAUGUAGAAACUGGCGGAGUUCUCCAAGUAAUUUGGAGGUAUGUAGAUUUAUGAGACAGAGCCCCUCUGUUCAAGGAGUUUACGUUCUUUUCAGGUUGACAAGAUAAACUUAUCAACACUUACAAGUUUGAAAAGUUUUGCAAAGAAUAAAUGUUUAGGACCGGAAUAGUUGGCAUAAGCUUCCAGAAAAGAAAGUUAAGACUUGAAUUAGCCCUUGAAAACUUGAGUGGAAUUUGGAGAGGAAAGUUUUUAGGAGACAUUCAGGGAUAAUUGGAGCAAAUCAGUCAAAAUAUUCUUGAAAACACAUGGCAAAUGCUGGCUUUAAUCCAAGCAAAUUUUACUUCAAAACAUCAGGUAGAGUUUCAUCUGAAGCUCUCCAAGUGUUAGCUUAAGGGAUAUUUAAGGGAUAUUUCUAAAGCAUAACUGAAUUGGUGGUGCCAAUCAACCUAACCAUCGUAUGGUUUAGCUUGGCUCCCCAAAAUACAGUCCUAACAGAUUAGCUACCUCUCUUCCCGUCCUCUCUCUGUCUGCCUUUUCUUUCUCUCUCUUCUUUCUGUCCCUCCAUCUUUUUAAGACUAUUAACUAAUCACCUUAUAUGAUCUGGAUACCGUACCCUCCUAUUCAAUUCUACCAAAGAGAUUAAUCAAUGGAAAUAUAUCUUAAAAGAACAUCAUAGAUUAUUUUGCAGUCCCUAUGUGAAGGGCAGUAUUUUUUUAUUACCAACAGCAAUUUUUCUUUGGUCCAUUGAUUCAAUCCCAAGAAAGAAAUUUCCCUCUUUUAUCAGGAAUGAUUGUAUGUUUCCUGAGCAACUGGUUUCUUUCUGUCUUAUGAAUAUCAGGGGCGUUGUAACUGCUUGUAUUUCCUCUUUAAGUUGGUUGCUAGAAAACAUGGGCUUGGAAACAGAUUUGUGGCUCGGAUGUAUGGAAUCAUAAACUACAGGCUGGGGCAUAGGAUUCAAAACAGCUCAACAAGUGAUUCUGAUGAUCCAGUGAGAUUGAAAACUAUGGCUUUUGUUUCUGUUUUUAAGACACGUGCAAUUUGUGAUGAAUAUUUGGCCCAUGAUGGCAUCCCAGUGCAGCCCCAGAUUACUGGUGCAGAUUACUGGGACAUGCAAGGAAUUCUGGUGAUAUUUGGAUACUUUACAAAUAACUUAAGUUUUAAAACUCCAUAAAGUUAGAGAACGCCUCUACAAAGUUACGAAUUCUCUUUUUGGAAUCUUAGUUUUAUACUUAAAAAUUGGGGUUAAUUAUUAAUGUUAGCAUUUGAUCAAAUCAUUAGUAUUUGGUUUUAAUUGUUGAUGUUUUUACACCAAGCACAUAGAAGGGGCUUCAUAAAUGUCUGAGGAAUUUAACUGAUUUUUUUUUUUAUAAGAGAGACACAGAAAAGUUAAAUGACUCAAUCAGGGUCAUCCAGCUACUUAGAUGCAGAAACCACUGCUUGUGCUAGGACUCACUCUUUUGAUUCAUAGUCCAAUGUUGUCCUUGUAGUACUGGCUUCAUAAAGAAAACUGAUGGCUCCGUAAAUAAAGUUCUUUUGCCAUGUACUUAAGUUAAAGCGAUCCCACUUGAAUCCCCUGAGUUGCCCAACUUAGCCAGGGAGAAACUGUUAAACCUUUGGUAUAUUAAAAACCUCUCCAAAGCAGCCAUUUAUUUGUGCUCAAAAACCUUUUAUUUAACUGUUAUUUUUGUCUAUAAUCAUAGAGAUGAGCACCAAAGAGAGGUUUUUGUGAACAUAACUAGAAUGUUAGACAUUGAUUGUGGUCGAUGAGUCCAUGGUUGAGUUUUUGGCCGAUCAGAAUAUUACGGGAUACUAGCAUGUUCAAGUCCCAAGUGGGAAAUGCUAUACUUUUAAACAUUGACUUUGCCAUUUUUUUAGAGCAGUGUUUCUCAAAUGUGGUGCAGGAAGGAGCUAUUGAACUUCUUUUCACUUAUUUGAUCACAUCUUUGUAAAAUGCUAUGUACAUUUAAUAGCAUAUGCAAUAAUAGCAGAUACAUAGUUUAUAUAUAGAAGUAUAUAACUUAUAAAUAAGUAUACGUAAAAUGUGCAUUUGUGCCCUUUAAAAAAAACUGAUAUGAACACAUACCAGUAUAAAUUUCAGACCACUGAUACAGUUCUGAAAACUAAUUUUUCAUUUGUUUCUAUCCAAGACCACUAAGAGAAACAAACCCACCAUAGGUUCUUUCCUCUCUUCCAGUCUCCCUCCUUCCCUCCUUCUCUCUCUCUCUCUCUCUCUCUCUCUCUCUCUCUCUCUCUCUCUCUUUUUCUUUCUUAUUUAUUUAUUUUUUCUGAGAUGUUCUCUAAGGGCAUAUCUGCAUUCUCAAUAGACCAAACUCAAAGAAAUAGCAGUUACAAAGUUGAACCAAUCACCAGUCCCAAUAGUAACUAAGCAUUCCAGCCGUUAACCAAACUCAUUAGCUGUAUCAGUACGUUGUCUUAAAAUAUUCUCUAAACAUCAUCCUAAUUUCCCUAAGUAUAAGAAUUGUAUUAUUGAUACAAUCUUUUCUUUUCUUUCUUUCUUUGUUUUUUUUUUUUUUUUUUUUUUGAUAAUCACAUACUUAACUUUAUAUGCUGGGCAAGAAAUAUAUAAGGUAGAGUUUUUUGGUUUUUUUUUUUUUAAAUCAUUGCCUAGCUUAGUCAAUUUUAAUGUAUGUAUGAGCCUACCUUAAAAAAAGUCUUAUUUUUAAAAUAUUUAAUUCACCUUCUCACAAGAGGAUUUCCACAUAUUUAAAAGCUUUUUAUCUUUAAAGAAAUAAAUAAAUCUUUUAGCUGAUUGUGGAACAUUCUAAGUAUACAAUAAUUAGAUUUAAGAGGAUUCUUUUGGAGAUGCAAUUUAAAAAUUCUAAAUGCAUGAUACACACUUCUGUGAAAAGCAUAAUAAUCACCUAUACAAUUAGCUAAAUGAUUCUCUUGAGUUCAAGAAUAUAAAUUGGUGAGUGGCUAUCUGCAUUAAUCAGAUAAUUUCCAUGUUUUACUUCAGGAUGUAGACUUUUAAAAAUAUUGCUUUGUGAGUUUUAUUUUAAAUAAUAACUCAUUGAAAUGGAAAGGGAAAAGUGGAUUUAAUCCAUGCUUCAAUGGCUUAAUAUUUGUCUGAUUUUUGAAGGAUUUAGCACUGUUCCUCAGAGAACCAUGGAGGACAGGGAAAAGCCUAUCCAGAAGCUUCUUGGAUUAGUUUGUUCAUUCAUUUCAUUCAUUCAUUCAUUUACUUUGUGCUUAUUUUUCUCCAUAGUCAUGUUUGUGAGUUGUAGACUCAUGCAUAAAAGUUGUGAUUGCUGAAUUAAAGAGCAUCAAUCUAAAAUGAUAUACCAACAUUUGAUAAAUAAGAACAAUAAAUAUAUGUAAUAUUUAUUAAUCAUUUAUUAUAAUUUAUUUUAUGAUAAUUUUAUUGCAUACAAUAAUAAAAUAAUCACUGCUUCUUGAAUUAUGUUUCAGGUUCUGUGCUAGGCAUUUGAGAGUCUCUCUCGUGAUUUUAACUACCCUGUAGGUUAGCAUGUGGCACAAUGUAAAAGAUAAAAAACUGGACUCAGAAUCCACAUUGUCUGGGUCCAAACUAGCUCAGCCCUCUAGACAUCUUGAGUGACCCAGAACAAAUUAUUUAAUGUCUUACUGCCUCUGUUGCUCAUGUACAAACAGGGGAAAUAAAAUUAUAUGUGAUUUACAUGGGGCUAUUGUAAAGAUUAAAUGAAUUGAUAAUAUGCAAAGAACUUGGAACAGUGCCUGACACACAGUAAGAACAAUGUGUUUGCUAUCACUACAAUAGUUAUUGUUGCUAUGUGUAUUAUAGUUGACAAGAAAUAGUAUACUUGUAUUCAAAAGAGUUUAUUUACAUAUUGAUUCUGCCUGGGAUGAAGUAAGGCAAGCCUUUUCAUAGAAAGAGAUGUUGAUUUAGUCCUUGAAGUUUGGGUGGGAUAUUAAUUAAAGUAAGGAAGGACAUUCCAGGGAGGAGGAAUGAAAUGGGGACAGGCAUAGAUAUAGGGUAGUCCGAAGUAAGUUUGAGGGAAAAAAAAUGAGGAAUUUGGGAGUCUGAGAUGCAGGGUAUAUGGCAACAAGAAUAAAAAGGCCAUAUUGUAAAGUACUAUGAUUUGAUCUCUCUAUAUAGGUAGAACAGGUGUGUGUGUGUGUGUGUGUGUGUGUGUGUGUGUGUAUGCACGCAUUUGCACUGGAAAAUUCAUUGACUGUGAUAACAGUUUUGCUCUCAAGUUAUUAUUUCUUUAUUUAGUCCACCGUAAUCUUAGCAUUUAUCAAAGGCUGAUCUGAAAAGGAGCUUUAGGACCAAAGGAUAUCGCUUAGAUGCUGAUAAUCACUUCAUUUACGUUAAUAACACCCUAAGUCAGGACAGCAGCCAUCAGUUAAAUAGACUAAAAAUUAGACUGAGAUCAAAAUUACUACCCCAAGCACAGUAUUAAUUUUCUGAUUGAUGGUGACUAAGAAAAAAACUAUUCGGCAUAGCUUCAGCUGUAUUUCAGGGAAUCUGUACAUUUCUUCUAAUUUAUAAAGUAUAAUAAAUGAAUCACCAAGAAGGAUUAGUUGUCAGCUCUAAGACAGAGUGUGAAGGAUGAAGCACUGCUGUAUUCCCCUGAUGUCAGUUGAUCUAUUAAAUUAACAAGCAUAUAGAUAGAUUAUUUAAAGAUCAAUUUAGCCAAGAAUUGCUUUCAAAUGAAUACAUCAGGCAUCAAGCCUUUUUUUUUUGUAAGAUCGUUUUGUAAUUGGAAUACAUAUUACACACAACUUCUCAUCACAGAACUCAAGCAGUUUCAAUCAGGAGGAUUUGCUCUUUCUGCAAAGUGUGUGAAAAUCAAAAAUGAGCAGAUCCACUUCAUUAUGUAUAAUGAGGAGAUCUGUAGUUACUGUGUAAGUAAUGGCUGAAAAGAAUUGCUAGAAAAAUGUUCUUUGCUCACAUCUCUGGCACUGGGCUAACAUUUCUCUCUUAGAAAAUCUUUUCAGCAUGAAAGUUUUGGAAUUAAGUUCCUAAUAAACUUAGAAAGUCCAACAGCUGUGAGUAAUUAUGAUACAAGCAUAUCAAUCCAUGUGCAAACAGAUUUAUUCGGUAAGCUCCAAUCCUCUUGCUAACCCUUCACUGCAAUAAUUAAGUACACUCUAAUGAGUUUGUUAGUAAUUUCCAUAUGAUUUUCCUCCUAAUUAUUAUUUGAGUUGCCCAUGUUUAUAAUACUUAGUAAUAUCCUUAAAGUAUCAAUGGUGAAGACACAAUUUUGGCUGGUGUAUUAUUUAAUAAUUUGUAUUUUCUCAUUCAUAUGCUAAGUAAACGAAGGGAAAACAUUUAUUUAAAGGUCAAACUUUUUGAAAUUGGAUUUUAUGUGUGUGUAUGCUCAUUUUUAUACACUUAUUCAAUUCCCAUGGAAUGAAUGGGUCGUUUUAGCCUGAAUCAAGUCCUGUUUUUCCCUGCUUAAAGAACUCCAAGUUUCUACCGUGGUCUUCAGGACCCUGAGGGACCAUGUGCUACCUACCAUUCUGACUUUGUCCCUUACCACUUCCUUACUCAAUCAGCUCCAGAAUACUGACCUUCCUCCUGUUUGUCACAAAAGCAAAGCUGGUUUAUAUUAACACCAUGGGGUCUUUGAACUUAGUACAGUUCUGUUUUGGAAUGUCCUCCUCCCACUACUCUGUAUGGAUGUCUCACUUUUGUCAUCCUAGGGUCCACUCGGGAUAUCACUUCAUUGGGGAAAACCUUGACUUUUAGCUACAACAGCACUCUAGCCAGUCAUUCUCUAUGGUCUCACCCAAUUUUAUUUAUUUCAAAAAAAGUCUCAUCACUCUUUUUUAAAUGUGCUAGUUGGUUUAUUUACUUUUCUCUCUCACACCUAGAAUCUGAGCUUCCUGGUGUGUAAACAUGUUAUGUGAUCUGUCUCCUUCAUUUCUUUAUCUUCUAGGCCUACACCAGUGCCUGAGGCACUGGUGGUAAAUUCUUAAUGAGUACUUCUUCAGUGAGUGAGUAGAUCAAUGGUGAGCUGGAACAGGAAAGAAUCUCAGCAAUCCUAUCUACCCCUCAUUUUAUAGAUGAAUAACUGAAGUAUAUUUGCAUCCAUGAUUUGUCACCUAAAAUGUAGAGCCUGUCAGAGCAGACCCAAGAAAUUAAAUCCCAAGCUUCUUGAUUCCUGGCCCAGUCAUGCUACCUGUCUUCACAUUCAUCAGUCUGGCUGUGUUUGUUGAGAUAUAUAUAUUUAUGCAUGUGAUGUGUGUACUAGUAAAAUUUUAAAUUUUUGAGAUUUUGAAUCAAAAUCACACCCACUCUAAUCCUCUCAAGUUACACAGACAAGUAAAUCACUUAACCUCCCUGGGCUUUGGUUAUCUCAUCUAUAAUAAUAAUAAUAAUAAUAUACUAGCCUGCCCAAUCAGGCGAGUGAUUGUGAGAACCAAGUAAUAAAACAAAUUGUUUUGUAAACUGAAAAACUAUAGUAUGAAAUGAUAAUAAUCAAGACCCAGAUGUCACUUAGCAACACAGUAUAAAGCAGAAUUGGAUUCUUGGGAUGUCCACCUUUAAGUGGGUUCAGAUAUUGAAAUUCCAUAAUCACAAAAGGCAUUAUAGAGGAAAGCAAAAGCUGUAUAUAUGUCUAUAUAAAACCUUUUUUUCCUUAAGCAUUGUGGUUCUCAAAGAGUGGUCCCCAAAUCAGCAUAUCACCAUCACCUGAAAACUUGUCAGAGAUGCAGAAUCCCUGGCAGACCUCAGACCUACUGAAGUAGAAAGUUUGGGAGUUAGCCAAACAAUGUGUGUUAGCAAGCCCUCCAGGGAAUUUUGAUGCCCACUCAAGUUUGAGAGCCUUUGCCUUAUAUGAUUUAAUAAGGUAAACAAGAUGAUAAGUUUCCUAAUUAUGAAGCCUUACUAUGUUUUUGAAUAGGUUUACAGAAAUUCAUUGCAAAACCUAAAAGUCAGUCUUGCAUCAAAACCUAAAAAGUUAAAAUUAUAUCAAAGGGUGUCACCCUCUCAUUUCCAUGACAGAAGGCUCCCAGAACCAAAUAAACCAUGGAGAAUAGUUGCCCAUAAUGAGGUAGGAGACCAAUAGUUUAUCACCUAUAUAUCAUGGUUGAUUGCAGAAGGAGGUCAUUAUAAUUACAGAGACACCCCUUCUAAUUAGGCAGUUCAAUGAGGAAGUAAGAAAUUAUCAGGAUGGUUCAGGAAACACAACAACAACAACAAAAUCACAUUUGGUUUUCUUGAAAAGAUGGUCAAAGGCUUUUUCUCCCAGAAUUCUUGGUGUUUCAUCUCUCAAACAACCCUCUUGGGAUUGACGAGGGAGCAGAAUGUACUGCUGAAAUGCUUUACUAAAUCUUACUGGGGUAGUAAAAGGUACUGAGCAUCAAAAUCAAUUUUAAUCAGGAAACAAAUAGGCAUCGGAGUCAAAUCUGUCUGCUUCACUUAGAGCUCAGCGAACCUGGGCUAGUUAGUUAACUUUCUCUGAGCUUCAGCUUCCUCGCCGGUGAAGAGGGAAUAAUGAAACCUACUUCCAGAGAGUUGUUGCAAGGACUAAAUAACAUAAUGUAUUUAAAGGACCCACUAGCAUACCACCGUGUCUGGCACAAAAAUGAUGCACAUCACGCGUGGCUUCCCGUUUUCCUCCUCCAGCAAAUAGGUCUUUUUUUAGGCUCCACACUUUUUUUUUUCUCUUUGGCUACCUUCCAUAUUUCCAAAAUAACAUGAAUUGAGGAAAUGAGCAAGACACAAUGAACGUGAGAAGACGGACAUGCUCUCAAAAUACAGUCACCUAGGAGUCAGCAUAUCUGUACUUACGAAAUGAGCUCUUUUCUGCAGAGACAACUGGACCCAGUUGGCAGAAAGACUUAAGUAGGUAUCCUAAGGUGUGUUAGAUGCACAAGUAGACUCUUUUUCAUUCCUUCUUCUGAUCUUCCUACCCACAAAUGUGUAUACAUAUGUGUUUAUACACACACACAUAUGCUAAAUUGAACAUAUUGUGAGCUUUUAUUACCUAUAUGAUAGAAAGCCAUCAUUUGUUAUCAUAUAUUCAUUUCUUAUCGUGUGAAUUACAAUAUAAGUAUCAUAGCAGAGCUUAAAAUCAAAAGAUUUAAGACAGAAUAUAAGUACAAUAGAACUGUAAAAGGAUUGGACAUCAUGGUACAUUGUUUGGUGGAGGAAAUAGAGUGCUUGGCAAAACUCAGUGAACUCAAAGAAGAAAUCCAAGACUAAUCUUGAUAUCUCUUGAGUUCACACACUGAGUUUAUGGGUAUCAAGCCAGCCUCAGCUUGCUAUAUGAAUGUAGUAGGUGAAGAAAAGGGUGCAGUGGAGGGAUCAUGUCUUUUACAGAGGAGAAUGUUGGAAACUGCCUCUACAAGGACACCCCAAAAUGUUCGUUGUAGGUGACACAGCAAUGCCACAGUGCUCAGUCCGUAAACUUAAGCCACUGGGGUUCCCACAGAAGAUGUUCCCAUGUAUCUCUGCAAAAUGGGAUUUGACUUUGUAAUAACACCACUGCAGAAAGCUUCUCUCUCCAACAGCCUGCCCUACGAUUAUUUAUAAAUCAUCUGUUAUUACUUAUAGCUUCCAGGUUUUCUUUUUAACAGAUUUAUAGAGGUAUAUUUUAUAUAGCAUAAAAUUGUCCCAUUUGAGCAUACAAUUCAAGGAUUUUUAGUAACUUUACUGAGAUGCCAUAGCCACAAAUCAGUUUUAGAACAUUUUUAUCCCCCCAGACAGAUCCUUCAUGCCUGUUUAUAGUUAACCCCCAUCCCCACAGCCGGCCCCAGGCAAUGACUAAUCUAUUUUCUGCCUCUAUAAUUUUGCCUUUUUCUGGACAUUUCCUAUCAGUGGAACCAUACAACAUGUGGUCUUCUGUGUCUAGACUCUUUCACUUCAUACAGUCUUUUAGUGGUUUAUCCAUGAUGCAACCUCCGUCAAUGGUAUAUUCCUUUACCUUACUGAAUAAUAUUCCCAUAGCUUCUCUUAAAACCUAAAAAAGACCAUAUUCACUUAUUUAUAUAUUUAUAAAUACUGAAGGGAGGCACAUUCCCAGUGAAGAAUAAGAGAGUUCCGGAUUCAGAACAGAUUUUUGUUCUCUGUAUCUCACUAAUUACACUCUCUUUCUUAUUUAUUUAUUCGUCUUGUCAUGUCAGGUGUUGGCUUCUCUAUUUCACUUUUUAAAAAAUAAUUUCACAAUAGGCUAUUGAAACCCAGAAUGGUGAAACUGUAAAAGCAAUUUCUGGCAAAUGGUGGUUGAAAAAAAGUGCCAGGCAUUCACUUGGAGAGUGCUAUAAUGCAAAUAUGUGUUAAGUAAUGUAAUGGAGUUAAAAAUUAUCAUAGUAUUAAGAUGAGUCAUAGGAAUCUGAAAAUAAGUAAAAGAUUCAUUACUUUUAAUAUUUGAAAGUAAAUUAAUUCAGUAUCUCAUAGGUUUGUUGAUUUCAUAUUCUUUCAUAUUCUAAUAUCGUGUCAGAGAUUGCUGCAAUAUUUACAUAUUGUCUUUGCUGCAUGCAAUAUAGUUACCGUCUCAAAUUAUCCACCUGGAUCCAUUUAAUUUCAUAAUGGGUUUCUUUGGAAGUUGAGUUGUGGAAUGUCAUAAAUGUUCAGGGAAAGCAUGCCACUGUGGACUCAGAAAUUAUAUAAAAAAGCUUCCAGUACACACGCUAAAUAAAAAUGGGUCAUAUAAAGUUUAUUAACUAAACAAAUUAAACCCGCUUGGUAAUGGGUGUUUCUCAUGAAGUUCUUGAAGUAGCAUAAAUGUACUUGGCAACCUGAGGUUUCAGCUCAUGUAUUUCUCAUAUAACAUUUGGCUUUUUCUCUUUCCCCAGUUUCUCUUCUAAGUGGGGUAAAUGCUAUCUUCCUUUCUUUGGGGUGGAGGAAGUCCCUUCAGGUAGAGUGUAGAUUUCAAGACUCAAGCAAUUACAGAGCAUUGCUCAGUAGGUUGAUUUGUGGUGACAAAGCAAUAAUAGUCAGGGGCGUAUUACAUACCCCAUAAGUGGUUACAUAAGCUCCCAUUAUGUGUGGGGCACUUUGCCACAGACAUCGCAAGCCUUCAGUAAGAUACAUGCCUUAUGAUUUAACUUUUAUCAUUGUUCCCAUUUGGCAGAUGAAGAAACCGAGUCUCAAAGAGAUCGAGUAACUUGCCCAAAAUCACACAGCUAAUAAGCACGAGAGCCAGGACUUAACUCUAGUUUCAUCUAAUCUUAAAGCUCCUGUUUUUAACAAUCAUGCUACACUGUGUCUUAAAAUGGCAAGUGGGAGACCUGCCCUCCCACACCUGCCAGUGCUCAACCACAGUCACUUGUCUUUCAAUGCCAGGGGCACAUUCUGAGAUACGCAUCUCUGGGCGAUUUCAUUGUGCUGGAAACAUCAUAGAGUGUCUCUCCACAACCUACGCUCUAUGGUAUGUCCUGUUGCUCCUAGUCUACAAACCUGUACAUUGUGUCACUGUGCUGAAUACUGUAGGCGACUGUAACCCCUUGGCAAGUACCUGUGUGUCUCAGCAUAUAGAAAAGGCCCAGUUAAGACACGACACUGUAAUCUUAUGGGACCACCAUUGUGUUUGCAGCCUGUGGUUGACUGACAUGUAGUUAUGUGCCACAUGACCGUCCAUUAACAAGUCAAGUGACCUCUGAGGUCUUCUGAGUCUGUUAAUCUAAAGGGACGAGAGGGUCAUUCCACUUCAGGAGUCUUUUCUUGAGCACGAUCACAUUUUCAUUUCCCUAAUCUCUUAAAAUGACUGACUCACGGCUGGGGUGCAAGAGGCAUCAGUGUAGAUUGCUUGUUGGGAUGGAAAUAGGUGGUAAGUGGUGAGGAAGAAGCGGUGUUGAGACGCUGGGGAAGGGUGGGGAGGAAAGGUGUGAGUGGGCACAGGGACUCAUUGCCAGCACCUGUAAAAACCCAGCUCGGAACCAACUGGAAAAUCCCUCUCAAUCUCAGAGGCUUCUUUGAUGCUCUUCAUAAGAAACACUUGUAUGUUCUUUUCCUUUUGUCAGGGCCAUGUAAUCUAGAAAGCAGAGAUUUUUUUUUCUUUCUUUCUUUCCUUUUUUUUCCCCCCUUUCUUUUUUAGUAAACAUAAAGGAUUAAAAGGAAAGACAACAGCAAUUUUAAAGAAUGCUUUCAUGAAUCUUUCAGCGGGUGGUAGCUAGGAAAUGUGAGUUUUGCAGUAUGUUAUCAAUGUUAGUUUGGAGCAGAAAAGGUCAAAAAGUUAAACUUUGAUAUCUUUAUCUUUUCACAAAGGUUAUUCCAGAAGGAGCUAUAUGUAAAAAGAAAAACAAAAAGCAAAUACAUAUAUAUUACAGCAAAAUAUCCUUUCCUGUAUUCAUUCCAAGUAAUGGGCUUCACCUCGUAGCUAUUCUUUUCUGCAAAAGGUUUAUGUUAUUAUCCUCGGGUAUUAUUUCCUGAUGGUAUCAGUGUAAUGGGUCAUUCUAGAAGAGCUGGCUUAUUUCUGGAAGAUGUUAUUAAAUGCUGUGGAGGUAUGAGUAUUUCUGUGAAAAUGCCAAAAGAAAGGAGGAAUAUAAAAAUACAAGAGGAAGUUCUGGGGAAACCAAGCUGAACCUCAGAAAAUGAGACAAUGGGUAUGAAAAGUUUGAGGCGGGGCUAACUUCUUAGGGGUUAGCCUUCUCUGCUUCAGUUACACAGUGUUAUAGGGAAGGAGACACAAACUUAAGUGCAUCCCGGAGCUAAGCAUGUAAUAUAAAUGAAUGAACCACACGGGCUGGUGCUAGAGACCUGAGAACAAAGAGAAAAUUCCAUAUUUCCCUUCAUCUUAUAAUAAGAAAAGUCAUAGCACAAAUGCACAUGUAAAAAGUAGCAGACAUUCAGCCUCAGUGCCAGGCAUAUAAUUGGGAACGGAAGGAUAUGGCAAGCCAGGUGGCUCAUGAAAAGGACACAGCUAUAAUCCAACCCAGGCCAAUUGUUCCUUCCAUCUUUUUCAAAAGUUUGGGUCAAAAUCCAGAGGAGGAUAAAGAUUAUUUGUAGUUGAGAGAAGGCAGCAAUUGGGAAAAGCCCUUUAAUACCUGGAUGGGAUUUGGAAAUAUGGGAUAAUUUCUCUACUUUAUUUCUUAUAUGCAAUGCUGAACUCUCAUGGGCUCCAGGGGUUGGAGAGUGGUGAUAUCAAAGAUGUGACUUUGAGAAACGACUCUGACAGUGCUAUGCUAGGUGGUCUGGAAUAAGGAAACCAGUCCUGAGGCAUUGCAGCAGUCUACAGAAGAGUCAUGAAGACUGGAAUUAGCAUAGUAGCAUCGGAAACUACCAGACAGAUGAGAGGUUUGUGGAGAUGAUGGAUCCAAGGUGGGGUUAAAGAUCUAAGAAAAAGCCAUUGAUAGAGACUGCCAAGAAAGAUGGCCCCACUGACAAAUGGACCAUAAGAAAAGGAGGCUGUUGCAAAGGGAAGGUGCUGCGUUCAUCCAGCAUUUACUGAAUUAUUUCACGUGGGUAGACAUUCUCAAGGAACAGGGAAAUAAAUAAUGCACAUGGCCCUGGAGAUGCUACACGAUCUGACCCCCACCUGGAGGAGGUGUUUGUAGGUUUGACUUUAGACAUUAAUAUUUUGAACUCAAGAUACUGGCAGAACCCUUCCCAAUUUAGAAACGUGGGCCCUUUCUUGACUUUCCCUCUCGCUUAACUCCUAUGUUUGAUAUUUCAAUACAGUUUGACUGCAAGUCACCCUGAAGUUUUGUUUCAAAGAGUGCCUGGAGCACAAAAUCUGUAAAAGCUUUGGCUGCAGAUUUUUCUCUGCCCAAAAAACAAUGCUUAGGACCUUAGGACCUGCGAAGGUACAUUCCUAGGUGCACACUUCUUUGUGGAAAGCCACGGAAGCCAAGCAAUGGGAUGAAUGAAAGUACGAGGAGGAGAACCGAUCAUGUGCAUUUUAGAAUGACUUGCUAACAUGCUUUAGUAAGAGUGCAUUGGGAAAUAGCCCAUUCUGCACAGAGACGGACCCGCUUUGCAAGGCUUACGCCCAACAACUGGCUUGGACGAAGGCUUAGAGUGACAAAUAUCCCAAAAUGGAUAUUCAGUGGAUAUUUGUCAUUAUGGAAAGCCAAUGUGCAAUGUUUUUUUUUAAAAAAAUAUUACAAAAAUACACAUGCACAAAAUAUAUUUGAAAACUAUAAUAAUUAGGAAUCUUACUGUUGGUUGAUAUGCAAAAGAUGAGAAUUAUCAUUUGUUCACUAUAUACCAGGCGUUGCCCAGUUUUUCUUUACCCUGGUAGCCCUGUUUUGGGAUCUGUUCCAGUGGUGGGGAUAAUAAGAUUGAAUAUUAGAAACCUAGAUCAUCCUAGAAAAUCUGGACCAUAUGGUCGCAUACCUGUACCUUCCUUGUUUCCUCCUAAUAGAGCCUGGAAACUCCAGCAAGUUAUUUGGAAGUCUCUUUGAUGUCGGUCUCUAGUGAGAAGCAAGGCGACUCUUCACUCGCUGCCGUCGGAUGGGUGUCUGUCUGGGAAAGAGGGCGGAGGGUGGAAGGGGUGCAAGGGGACCCCUCAUCACAGGCUUUGAUCUUCCUUGACUCCUCCUGGGAUGUCUCACCUUUUGAUGUUGGGAAUCAGUUAAUUAUUCGUGGAAAUUGGUUUGAGGGACUAGGAAACAGUUUGAAGGCUCUGUUCUCAAACUGCCUGUACUUUGAUCUAAGGAACUUUAGGGCAACUUUCUGAAGCAUCUCGGGCAAAUGGGAAAGGCUCAGUCUGUGGCCCCUCCCCAGCGGCUGCUCAGGUUUUGAUCCUCCUGUUCUGCCAUGGUACAUGCAGAUUUAGCACACUUCUCUGUUCAGAGCCCUUGUGGUUUUGUCGGUGGUAAAAUGAUGACUUUUGGGAUCAGAUCAUAAAACCUCUUUCGCACCACAAAGAGCAUGCAACUUGAUAAUUCCCUGCUUAGAUCUUAAUUUGAAACUGCCAUCUCUUUUUUUUUUUUUCUGAGCAAUUGCUGAUUAACACGACUGCGAAUAUCUCUUGCAACACAACCUUGAUUUGCGAGACAGUCUAUUAAAUUAAUGGGUUUGAAGUCAAAUUUCCUGCCCUUUCUCGUGUUGAUGCAAGUUAACAUCCCCCAAGUUGACCUGAAAGGCUAAGAAAUGCUCGCGGGUUUGAUGGGCAGGUGGUGGUGGAGAAGUCAGCUCUCUUUUCUCUUCCAAACAAGGCAACACAAUCUGGCACCUUGCCUGGUAAUGCAAUUCUCCUAAUGAACACGUUUUUCCUAGUCUGAGGCCCUGCAUUGUGACCAUGCCACAGGGCUGACAAAGAGAUAAUUUUUUGUGCUCAGAAAGAAACACACACACACACACACACACACACACACACACACACACACAUAUAGAAACCUUCUGAGAGUGUGUUUUGUUCUUAUGUCAUGGCCCAUUAUGGCAUUUUCAUUUUAAUUGCAUGUGAAACCCAUUUAAAGAGGUGGUAUAAUAUGACUCUUCCCUUGGAAAACAGACAAGAGCGGUAUGGAUGCAUCAUAAAGGAGUCUGUUAGUUACUUGGGCUGUCAUCACCAUAUACCUUAAGGGUGGUAACAAGUAUUAAGUAUCUAAGCAAAUGUAAUAUAUUUGAUCCUCUUGUAUAUGAAUCCCUGUCCUCCUCCUAUAAGUAGUAGAUUCAUAUCACAGUAUCUCAGGUAACAGAGUACUGCUCAGUAUUUCAAAGAUAAAAUAUGCAUUCUUAUGCAUGUACAUUUUCUCAUUUUUCAAAUAGAAAUUGAGCCAUAUAGAUAAAGCAUGCAUAUACUGAGAUUCUGGAACUACUUAUUGAAAAGGAUGGUUGAUAAGGUUAUUUUUGUUGUUAUUGUUCUACUAUUCCAACCCUCACCUUGGGAAAUACAUGGCUCAUACCUCAAAGAGU